AAAAAAGUCUUCUCACAAGACCAACUGCUAUCCAAAGCGAAACUUGAGUCUAUAUUUGACUGUAUUUGGCUUCUUUCGAGAAACCACCCUUCCAUUCUCAGUUUUCCCUAAUCACAGAAGAAAAUUUUCCAAGAUAAUUUACCCUGAGGUUUUAUUGAUUUAAUAUGCUAUCCUUCCCAAAAUGUUUACAUUUUAAGAAGAAAUUAGAAGAGAGAAAUGCUCAAUUCAAAUGAAUUCAUCACUAAUAGAAGAAUUGAAAGAAACAUAACACCUGAACAUGGAAGAUAUUUUGAAGAAAGAGUAUAUCCUUGGUGGCUCCCAAGUGAUAGGACACAGACAUCUAUAUGGUCCACUUAAGCAUAAGGCAAACUCAUUGUUCUAAGAUUCCAUUUCUGUUUUCCUCUAGAACAGGUGACCUUGCAGGAACCACUAGAACUGAAAUUUCAUAAAGGGAAAGAAAGUUUUGUGACUUGGACCAGUAACACCUGAAAAAAAAAAAUUGACUACGCCUACUAAGGGAGUACCCUCAUUCAGGUCAGACUUUGACUCAAAAGAAGAAAAUAAAAUUAUGACUCCAAAAGUACAGAAGAUAAUUUUUUCCAGACACCUGAACGACUUUUAUGUCUUUUCCAACUUUCGAACCUCCUCUUAGACCAAAUAAGGAUAUGCUACAUACUUGUAGCUGUUCCUGAGAAUUAGACAAAUCAGACCUGACUAGGACUUCUGAUUAUGCCCUGAUGCAUGCCUGUAUCAUAAUGAGGAACUCUCCUCCUCCUAGGCAGAUCCUGCAUCUACUUUGAAACUUGAAAGACACAAAGAGUUGGAAGAAACUUUGGGAGAGAUUAAAUGACUUGCCCAGGGUCAUAUAGAUAGAACAUUUUUCCAAGUAGGGCCUUCCUGACUCCAAGGCCAGCCACACUGCCUCUUUGAAAGUGUUUGGAUAUACAUUUAUUUAGAAACCAAACUGGGGUCGGAGUUUGAAGAAUCCCUGUGAGAAUGAGAAUUGUUCCAGCUAAAAGUCUACAAAGGUCUCCUAGAUAGCCAUGCUCUCUCUGCUGGGACUGAUCAGGUCUCAAAGCACUUUUCCAGGUCUGCCCCAAAGGCUAAACCCCUAAAUGGUCGGAGUUCGAACUGUGCAAAUUUUUUCGGGUCUAAAGACGUGUUUCCAAGGUGUAUUUCUGGUCUCCAAAAGGAUGAUCGUUUAUCAAUCCAGUAGCACCGGGCUUAAUUCGCAUUAACAUCUCAGAAGAAAAAGCUUAUUGCAUUUUUUUUUCUCUAUCCAGCAUCUAUGAUCUUCACUUAAAAAACAUCCAAGCUGAAAAGCUGCUUUCUGUCCCUUUUAUCAACUCUUGGGUCACUGAGAUGCAUCUCGGAACGCCUCAUUAUGAGUCAAAAGGCUACUUGCACAGAAUUUUCUUUAUCAACAGCUCCGCUAAAUGGUUAUAGUUAAUUACAUACAAAUUUCUCAGCCAUUGACAACAAGGUCAGGGAGAAAAUGUAUUCGAGCAGCUCAACCUGCAGAAAUAAAAACAGGAGACAAUUUUCUUUAGAUUGGAAAAGAGAAGGAAGCCCUGAAAAUCGACAGAAGCUGGUUCCAGGCCUUGUAAGAGCACCUGAGGCUUCUUGGAGAGUUGAAGCUACUUUAACCUUUCCUGCUUGGCUCCUGUUUCCUUGGGUAUCUAUUCACCUUGUGAUCUGGAAGACUCUGUGAAUUACCUAUGUAGUUCCCUUACAUCCUUUCCUCCUGGAGUGAAAACAGUUUUGACCCUCUCUUGCUUAGCGUCCCUUUCCAUGUUUUGCAGUCAGUAGUGUGAAUAAAUUUAUAAUCAAGGAUGAUAGCAAGGCAGCAGACAGUUUUAUAUUGAGAUCUGGGAAAAGAGAGAAAGAGGAGAGGAGAAGAGAGGAGAGGAAAGGAGAGAAGAGGAGAAGAAAGGAGAGGAGAGAAAGGAGAGGAGAGGGAAGAGAGAAGAGGAGAAGAAAGGAGAGGAGAGG